UACAGAGGGUGCAAGCGUUGUUCGGAAUUAUUGGGCGUAAAGCGCGUGUAGGCGGCUUUGCAAGUCGGGUGUGAAAGCCCUGGCUCAACCCAGGAAGUGCGCCCGAAACUGCAUUGCUUGAGUACCGGAGAGGGUGGCGGAAUUCCCCAAGUAGAGGUGAAAUUCGUAGAUAUGGGGAGGAACACCGGUGGCGAAGGCGGCCACCUGGACGGAUACUGACGGCUGAGACGCGAAAGCGUGGGUAGCAAACAGGAUUGAGAUACCCG
rnacentral:rRNA from 1 species